GAGCUAUUUGAAGAAGGUUCAGCAAUGCUUUCUGAGAGGUUAGGUAGCGACACACCAACAGCACAGACGACUUCAUCUCUCUUCACUUGUGCAAUAUGCCAAGUUGACCUUGCCCCGAGUGAAGGCAUAUCAGUUCAUGCUGGUUCUAUCUUCUCGACCAGCUCAAAGCCAUGGCAAGGUCCCUUUCUCUGUGCCGAUUGUCGUAGCAAGAAGGAUGCUAUGGAAGGAAAAC
rnacentral:misc_RNA from 1 species